AUUGAACGCUGGCGGAAUGCUUUACACAUGCAAGUCGAGCGGCAGCGCGGGGCAACCUGGCGGCGAGCGGCGAACGGGUGAGUAAUGCAUCGGAACGUACCCAGUCGUGGGGAUAACUGUCCGAAAGGACAGCUAAUACCGCAUACGUCCUGAGGGAGAAAGCGGGGAUCGCAAGACCUCGCGCGAUUGGAGCGGCCGAUGCCGGAUUAGCUAGUUGGUAGGGUAAAGGCCUACCAAGGCGACGAUCCGUAGCUGGUCUGAGAGGACGACCAGCCACACUGGAACUGAGACACGGUCCAGACUCCUACGGAGGCAGCAGUGGGGAAUUUUGGACGAAUGGGGCGAACCCUCGAUCCA
rnacentral:rRNA from 1 species